UUUAAUCCCAGCAGUCUGGAGGCAGAGCCAGGCAGAUUUCUGUGAGUUCAAGGCCAGCCUGGUCUACAGAGCAAGAUCCAGGACAGGCAUCAAAACUACAAAGAGAAGCUUUGUCUCAAAAAACAAAAAGAAAGAAAUCAAUCAUUAAUCAAGAAAAUGCCCCAUAGACUUGCCUACAGGAAGCUUUUUGCUUACUUGCUUUCUCUUUCUUUCUUUCUGCCUGCCUGCCUGCCUUCCUUCCUUUCUCUCUUUACUUCUCCUAUUCUUUUCUUUUUCUUUUUUUUUGGGGGGGGGGUUUGUUUGUUUGUUUGUCAAGACAGGGUUUCCCUGUGUAGCCCUGGCAGUCCUGGAACUAGCUUUGUCAACCAGUCUGGCCUUGAACUCAAGGCCUGCCUCUGCCUCUGCCUCAGUACUGGUAUUAAAGGCGUGGGCUAUCAUGCUCAAAGACACACUUUCUUAAUCCAGGUUCCUUUGCUUGUUUGUUUUUCAGUUUGGUUUUUCAAGACAGGGUUUCUCUGUGUAACAGCCCUGUAUCAGCUCUUUAGACCAGGCUGGGCUUGAACUCACAGAGAUCCGCCUACCUCUGCCUCCCAAGUGCUGGGAUUAAAGAUGUGAGCCACCACACCCUACUGAAGUUCCCUCUUUGCAUAUGACUCUAAAAACUAGCAAGCAAUGUGCUAAGGGAGUUGUUUAGCAGUGAUCUAUAUCCAAGCCAUGUCUUUACUUUUCAUUUUGAAAUGACACAUCACCUUUGAUCAUCAACCAAUCCUAGCAAGAAAGGCACAUCAGCUGAUGAUAAUUGGCUGCUUUGUUCUUGUUCCCUGACCUUAAUGAGUUCCUUAUUCAACUAUGUGCCUUUCUAAAACUUUAGAUUGUCUUCUUGGGUUUUUCACAUCAAAGCUAUUUAACAAAAACAUCUUAGUCUUACAUUUAAGGUAUUUACACAGCUUUAUUUCGCUAUCAUGCACUCUGAAACCUGUGAACACAUCUCCCAACAUUAAGGUUAAAAUAAUUUAAGCUAGCUGGGCUACUGGGAGAAUAAUCUUUCCUCUGGUGUCCUCUGUCAACCUGUUGAGCUAUCCAUUUCUUCUUUACCAUGGAGUCUCAGGCAUUACCAGGUCAUGGUAUGUCUUCAGAAUAUCAAUAGACCCCACUGAUCUUAGGGCCAUUAGUCAACAGCCAGCAGUGGAGAAUGGCAAUUUGUAGGGGAAGCCAAAAGGCCUCUAGGAGGCCAAGAUUUCUUAAUGUCCUUUUUCCCAAUGGUGAGAAACUCUCUAUAGAUCAUACUGUGGACAUGGCUGGUAGAAAAAAGCAUUCAUAAUGAUGAUCUGUGUAUCUGUCAGUGGACUUUCCUUUUCCCCAUCUGAGAGCCUGGGUGAGAUCAAUCAGUUCUGCUCUCUGGGCUAAGGUACCUUGCUUGAGCCCAAAUCAUUCCAUUUAAAGUAACUACUGCAGCCUACGUUGACAUCCAUGACCCACCAAAGCCAUGGGGAUGCCUAAUGUGUAGACUGCUUCCUGUAGACAUUUUGGUGUCCAAGGGCUGUGCUGCCACUGGGGCCAUGUUGAUCUGAGUGGCCUGUACCAGGGGACAUGAUGAUAUCCAGGCCUGGGCUGCUGCUAGUGGCUAUAUCUGGGUCCAUGGCCCUGUAGCAGCCAGGGUCUGUGGUGAUGCCCAUGGCUUUAGUAACCACUGAAGGCCAUGUAGAUGACCAGGGUCUAAUCAAACACUUGAGUCCAUAUUGGUCUCUGAGAGCCAUGCUUCACCAUAGCCAUGCUAAUCUAGAUGGCCUGUGCUGCCAUGCAGGGCCAUGAUGACAUCCAAGCCUGGCCUGUAGUGAGGGGCCAUGUCUGGGUCCAUGGCCCUACCUUAACCAGGGUCUGGGUUGAUAUCCAUGACUCCUGAUACCACUGAAGGCUAUGCAAAUAUCUGGGAUCUGGGCCGUUAUCUGAGGCCAGUUGGAGAUCUGAGGAUCACGCUGCAGCAGGGGCCAUGCAGAUCUGAGUGGCCUGCAUUGCCACAUGAUGACACCCAGGCCCACCCUGCAGCUGAGGGCCAUGUCUCAGUUUGUGGCCCUAUUGCAGCCAGGGUCAGUGUUGAAGUCUGUGACUCAUGAUAUCAUCAAAUGCCAUGUCAAUGACAGGGUCUGGGUAGCCACCUGGGGCCAUAUUGGUGUCCAGGUACCAUACUGCUGCUGAAGCCUUAUGAUAGGAGUGGCCUGUGCUAUUACCUGGGGCUAAGGUAGCAUCCAAGCCCAGCUCAUGUUGGCACCCAUGGACCAUGCUGCCACCAGGGCCAUGCCAAUCUGAAUGGCCUGUGCUGCCAUCUGGGGCCAUGGUGUUGUCCAGGCCAGGGCUGCUGCCAAGUGCUAUGUCUAGAUCUGUGGCCCUACCACAGUCAGGGUCUGAGUUGAUGUCCAUAGCUACUGAUACCAUCAAAGGCCGUGCUGAUGCCAGGGUCUAGGUUGCCACCUGUGGCCAUGUUGGUGUCCAAGGGCCACUCUGCUGCAGGGGCUGUGCCAAUCUAGGUGGCCUGCAUUGCCACCUGGGGCCAUGGUGACAUCAAAGCCUGGGCUGCUGCUGGGGACCAUGCCUGGGUCAGUGAUCCUACCAUAGUCAGAGUCUGUAAUGUCUGUGGCCCAUGGUCCAACAGCAGCCAAGAUCUAGGCUGAUGUCCAUGGCUUGUGUUACCACAGGGGGUCAUAGGAACCAUGCCUGUUGAAACCUGAGAGCCAUGCUAAGCCAGCCCUGUCAUUCACUGGCCCCAGGAUAGCUGGCCCUGCCUCUCACUGAACACUGCAGCAGAACUGGUUGCACCUCCCUAUGGGAGUGCUGACUCAGGAGAGAUGGCCCUCACCUCUCACUACAGGUGUAGGUACUGUGGGAUGUUCUUUAUGGCAGAUGUGUUGCUCUGAUUAGUUAAUAAAUAAAACACUGAUUUGCCAGUAGCCAGGCAGGACGUAUAGACGGGACUAACAGAGAGGAGGAUUGAGGGAAGAGGAAAGAGAGGAGGAGACACUGCCAGUCGCCACCAUGACAAGCAACAUGUGAAGAUGUUGGUAAGCCAUGAGCCACGUGGCAAAGUAUAGAUUUAUAGAAAUGGGUUAAUUUAAGAUAGAAGAACUAGAUAACAAGAAGCCUGAACCAUUAGGCCAAACAGUUUAAAUAAUAUAAGUGUCUGUGUUUUUAUUUUAUAAGUGGGCUGUCGGACUGCCGGGGAUUGGCGGGACCCAGAGAGAAAACUCUCCAGCUACAUGUAGGAGAACUGACCCCAUUGGCAUGGGCCUAGGAGAGCUCGUUCUGCCCAUCACCUGAGGAGGUGGUACCAGUGGCCCAUACCAACCAGCUAAGUUAUCACUCAGACCCACAUCCUGGGCCCACCCUAACAGCUGCCCCAUCUAUGACCUUCUGAAGUAAAGGGACUGGUCCUGCAGAAUGAUAACUGCAGAAUAUGCAGAUAAUACUGAUAAUAUGCAGAAUGUCCAUGACUCAGGACAACUACAUGAUAUCUGAGAUAUUUUGAUGAGGGCCCAGCCAAGUGAUGAUACCUGAAGUGUACCUGAAGUGUACCUGAAGCCAGAGGCCUGGAACCAGAAAAAGGACUCAUUGCAAUGAACAUUUUGCAGGUGGGGCUGAUUGCACAAAAAAGGGGUAUACUGAGUAACACACUGAAGCUCCCAAUGACACUAGGAUGAAUGAAGAAGUGUUAGAAAGAUGGAGGAGCAAGGAGAAGAAAAACUAUGAAUACCAUCAAAAAUGAUAAAGGUUUGAUUUGAACAAGAGAGACUUCUUGAUUAGAAGAGGUGAUAGUUCAUCAACCAGCAUGACCAUUCAAUUUAAACUAACUUAUACCACUAACAAAUGCUUUUUGUUUAAUCGGAUACAACUUGCCAAAAGGGAACUUCCCCAAUGCUAAGGUUGGGGAAGGGUUUUUGUUUUUGUCUUUCCGGAGAAUGAAGGCUAAGGAAUUUCAAGAACACUGAACAAAUGAGACAUCUGAAGAAAAAGGACAAAUCAUCCAGAAAAAUGUCCCAAGAAAAAAAGUAAAUUAGCCUAUUGGUGUAUCACAUAUAAAAUUUCAUAAGUCUUCCUAAAUGUUUGUUUCUGCUGUUCUCUACAGACACUUAACACAAAUACUCUUUAAGAAGUCCCUGUUCAAUUAAAAAUUAAAGCUGGCUUUGGAGUUAGAAUGUGGCUCUCUCCUCCUCUAAACCCAAGCAUGCUUGUUAAAAGAAAAUGCAAAAUCUCUGUAUCUUGUCAAAAGAGCCACCUCAUAUGGGACAGAAGAAAAACCAAAAUUAAGGGACUAUUUCAUUGCCACUAAUCUCAUAAUUCUUUGGUUCUAUUUUGACUCUUUAAAACUUUUCUUAAGGUAUGAAUUUUAUAUCAAUAUUUAUAAGAUUUAUAUAUGUAUUUUAAAACUUUUGUCAUAAUAUUAAUGGUCAUAUAGAAUACUAAUUCUAGAAAAAAGUCUUCAUAUAGAUGCCUGUACAUAUUUUCGUGUUUGAGUCUCUAUCAGUUUUCUGCAGGGAAUCACAACCAUGCCUAACAGCAAAUUUGAAGUCUCCAAAAAGAUGAUAGGGCACCACAAUGUCGAUUCCAUCAGGACGAUGAUAAUACCACUAAGAUGACCAACACCAUCUAAAGACUGGCUUUGGACUACAAACAGCCCACAACAAUUUUGAGAUGGCUAGCUGAGAUGAUCCAGCCUCACAGACUACUCAAGCAACGACUUGAGACAAGCCCUGCACUUUUGCAUUAUGCAGAGACUGAACAGCAAAUGAUACAUACAGCUACCUCUCCCAGGACUUGACAAAAAAACCUAAAAAUUUACUUUUCAGGAUCCCCUAAAGAUACCUUCACCCCCAGAGAGCAGGAAAUAAUUUUAAGAACAUAACACCCACAUUCCCAAGAGGUGGGGCAGGUGGUUUUUGCUCAUUCAAUGAGUUAUGGAUAAUUGUCAUUGUUUAGAAUGGUUAGUUACAAGUUGUUAAUUGUUAAUGGUUAGGAAAAAAGUUAAACAAAGGAAAUUAGAUUCAGGGUUCUUGUUUGAAAAAAAAAGAGGAUAUAGAUAAGAGGUAGAUUAUUGAAUCUACUCUGAAAAGAAAAGAGAGAGAAUAUGGAUAUGAUAAGAUAAAAAGGUAGAUUACUGAAUCUUCUUUUAAAAAGCAACUACUUAUUUUAAAUAUUUUAUAUUGGAUUGAAUUUGUGUAUAUUGUAUACAAAUUAUGUAUAGUGCUACAAAUUUGAGAUUGAUUUAUAUAGAUAUAAGGUAAAAGAGUAGAUUAUUGAAUCUACUUUUAGAAGGCAAUUACUAAUUUUAAAUAUUUUACAUUGGAUUGGAUUUUUGUAUAUUAUAUACAAAUUAUGUAUAUUGAUACAAAUUUGAGAUUGACUUUGUUAGAAAAUAUUGUACAUAUAUUUCUAAUCUUGUUUAAGGUAUUGUACCUAUACAGUUCAUGUAACAAUGUAAUGUAAUUUUCUAGUCCUUGAAAGUUAUUACCAACUAUUUAGGAUAACAAAGAAAUGCAGGUUAGUAUUAGUCAUUAACAAUCAAAAUUCUAGUCAUAUUAGAUAUGUUUUCAAGGUCAAGCAGGGAUAUAUUUUGGAUAGACCAGCCAUCUUCAAACCCUUCAGAGAUCUACAGAACAUGGCAUUUAGGAUGUUUUAAUAACAUAGAUUUUUUUUUUUAUGACUAUGAGACAUGUUUGCUCCUGGCAGCACCAAUCUACUUAAAAGAAGAUGAAGGGCAUUGAAGAAACUCCAUUUGGAGUAUACUUUCAUUGUGGCAAAAGUUAGCCACUGGGCAAGAAAGUGCCCUCACAUUGACUGCUGACAGUAUGCUGUCCAAAAUGGACAAGCAGGACACAAAACAAAGGAUUGCCAUCCUUGCCAAGGCAAGGUAGGAAGGGUCUUUAGAAAAUCCUACUUCACAGAUGAGUCGAUCAGAUAUGCUAAGCCUGUAGGCCAAAGAAUGGAUGCCCCAACAUUGUAGAGGAACCUCGGGUGACUGUCCAGGAAGCUAGCUGUUUCUGUCAUAACUCAUAUUUUUUGGAAGUCAAUUGUCUGUACUUCUUCCUUACUCAGUUGCUAUUAUUUCCUUCUUGGGUCUCUGAGGGAAUUGAAGAUUAGAUAGGUAUAGUUUUCCUUAUUAAUAAAUCCAGAAAAGAAAGUUACUAAAAGGUGUAAAUUGUAUAAGUUUGAAAGACAUGAAAAGAUAGUCUUGAUAAUGCAAAUUAGGAUAGAAGGUAAAUUAGAUAUAUUCCUUCAGAUUUACAAAAAUAGAAUAGAUAAUGGAAUAUUUUCACUGAAUUUGUCAAAUGCAAAUGGACUAGGCAUUGUUGAUGUACUUAUUGCCUGUAUAUACUAUAUAUAGUUAUUGUACUUAUUCUAUAUAAUUUUUCUUAUAUUAGUUAUAACUUAUUUCAGACAAAAAAGGGGGGAAUUGGUGAUAUUUUAUUUGUGUACCCCAAUAAAGCUUAUCUGGAGAUUAGAGGAAAAAGCUAGACACUAUAUUAAACAUAGAUGUCAGGCAGUGGUAGCAUACACCCUUAAUCAUAGCAUUCUGAAGGCAGAGAUUCAUCUAAAUCUCUGUGAGUUCAAGGCCACACUGAGAACAGAGCCAGGCAUGGUGGCACAUGCCUUUAAUUCCCAGCACUAGUUAAGCAUAGAGGUCUGGAGGUCUGUACAGAUAGACAGGAAGUGAUAGAGCUGGGCAGACAGAGGAAAGUGAUGAGGCUGGGCAGAGAGAGGAAGUGAAAUGGUAGGGCACAAAAAGGAUAUUGGCAUGAGUAUACUGGAAGUGACUCACUCUGGAGAUUGAGGAGUUGGUAAGGUGAGAUUGUCUGUGGCUUGUCCUAUUCCUCUGAUCUCUCAGCUUUCACUCCAAUAUCUGGCUUCAGGUUUUUUAUUAAUAAAACCAUUUAGCAAUUCGUCUUA